GUGCUCUUGUCAGCAGCACAUACACUAGCACUGGAACUAUACAAAGAUUGGCAUGGCCCCUGAGCAAGAAUGACAUGCAAAUUCGUGAAGCAUCCAUAUUUUUU